AUCCAUUAGCCCUUGUAUGUCAUGAUAGCCUAUGUGAGUCCAGGUGUGCCUGCUACGGCUCUACGCCCCUGGCACUAUGACAGCUUAUGGAAGUCCGGGUGUGCCUGCUACGGCUCUACGCCCUCGGCAUGUAUAAGUAAGAAAGAUAGGGGCUAAAUGGUGACAAGUUCAUCCUUGUUGUGAAAUGUUUGUGUUAUGGCGCAUACAUGAAAGCAUGAUUUAAAUUGAUGUUUUAUUAUUCUGCUCACUGGGCUCUAGUAGCUCACCCCACUCCCUUUAUCCCCAGAGUUGCAGGUACAGGAUAGAUCAGGAAGUCGGCUAGAGUGAAGUUAAGUCAUGUAUGUUGUAAUAGAUAGUAGUGGACAUGAACAUGAUGUAAUGAGUAUUUAUGACCAUGUAAUGUAAUGAAUGAUUUGAUGAUGUAUUGAGGAUUAUAGUAGUGCUUGACCUAGAGGUGUGUGAAUCCCCAUUAUGUACAGAGUGUUUAAUGAGUAAUGAUGUUAAUGACCAUGAUUAUCCAAGCUGAUAUGUAUGAUGAUGAUACCCCAUUGGAGUAUUUGAUGAGGACUCCAGUGUGGAGUUUAUGUAUGAUUUUGUGCAUGCACAGGUUUUGCUUGGAUAAGAGAAAAGAAAAAUUUUUACAGACCACGUAUAUGUUGUUAUGUAUGAGAUUCCACAGGUUUACAGGAG
rnacentral:lncRNA from 1 species